GCUGCGCGGGCGCGGGGCUGGGCGCACCUGCCUCCCCGGGACCUCGGUAGGGGCGCUAGCCCACCUGGACGCGCUGACUUCCCGGCGCUCCUCCCGGAAAGGGGCGCGCGACCCGCCGCCGGUCGACCGAGCGCUUGGAAUCGUUGUGUUUCAGCUCCAGCUGUUCACUUUCAGAGUUUGUUUUGUGGCCGGCGUGAUUGAGAAGGGCCCCUGGAGGGUGAGCAGUGACGUCGUACUGGGUGCCGGUGUUAAACAGGUUUCUUCUUUUCAUUCUCCUGCAAGGUAGGCGCUGGUGAGUGAAGUGGUUAGAGGAACCAGGGGAGUGUGGAGCUACGCCCGCCAACCUGGGCAAUGAAUCACGAUGCUCUGAAGCCACCGAUCUUUUUUAAGAUUUUAUUUACUAGAUAGCAACGUCAUCGUUACACUCAAGAGGCAGCAAGUUGCAGUCUAUAAGGAAACUAAAUUAAGUCCCAUUGACAAACAAAUUAACCAUCGUCCAGAAACAAAAGAUUCGCAACCAAAAGGGAGGAUGAUGUAGAUCCAGAACCAUCUCGCAAGGCUGUACUUCCUUCAAGGAAAAACCUGGUUCCAAACCGUGAAGCCUCAGUUCUGAAUUUGUGACUUUGCAAGAAUCAGUUUUCAUGGAUUCCGAAGGGAGCCUGUGAAGCAGUAACCCUGAUUUGUCACAGAGAGAGAGAGAGAGGCAGAGACACAGGCAGAGGGAGAAGCAGGCUCCGUGCACCGGGAGCCCGACGUGGGAUUCGAUCCCGGGUCUCCAGGAUCGCGCCCUGGGCCAAAGGGAGGACUGGAAGGGAGCAAGGAUGGAGCAGGAGACAACUGAUACUGCACCAGUCCGGGCAAGAAAUGACGGUGGCAUCUUAUCCAUAGGGAAACCAAAAUACCCAGGGUAAGUACUCAUCCAAGGCCACGCAGCUCAGAGGUGGGGGCAGGAUCCGAACCGUAAGCAGUCUGGCUGUGGAGGCCCCUCUCUCCCCCACCAGGAGCACUGAAGACGGACCAAGGAAUGACAUGCAUCCACAUCUCCAAUGGGACAGUGAAAGCCAGUAUUUGGAAGAAGCCAGAUCCUGGGGGUCUCUUGGCCUAGAAGAACUCCGCCCUCCGUGUGCCCUGCACUUGGAAACCUCUCGUACAGCUGUCACAUUCCACACCCACUGUCCCCACCCCACCCUGUGCUCCAUUUAGUGAGCCGUCGUGUCCUCACAGAUGGAAAGGCUUAGUCCUUGCCUUUGGGAAAAUAGCAUCACGACCCUGUGUUGUGGCUCGUUUCCCUUUUCAGGACAGUAUUGAUGAUGUUCAAGUGACUAGACCGGAAUGGAGGUCGAGGAAGUACUCAAUAGUAAUUUAACUGUAAAUGACUAUUACAUAACACACCGGAUUAAACUCGGCUGUGUUGUAUUUUCAAUCCUCAUGUGAAUCUCCUAAUCCAGUGUAAAGGCACACCACAGAGACAGAACUAGGAAAGUCUAAGAAAACCACCCCAUGGGACAGGGCUGACUUACUGGAAGCAGUUACUCUGGCCUCGUUGUCAUCCACAGGAGGAGGCCUCCUUUCAGAAAGUUUUUGUGACCCUCAACUGUCAGUUUCUCCAAUCUCUUUCUCUCGGCUCAGGCCCUUCCUCCAUAUCUCUGCCCAGGUCCUUCUGCUUCCCAGGGGAGCUUGCUUCUACAUCCGCUGCAAUAUCUACACUAGGACAUGUCUUCCCACCUGAAAAGAAGCUUCUGUUCCAAUAAACCAACUCAUUGUCCUCACUAAAAAUCUGACACUGAUUUUAAGAGAAGUUGCCUUUAUAUGGAUUUUUUUUUUGAAAGGUGAAAAUGCAGGAUUUCCUUUUUCAAAAGGGAAGCCCAGUUGCCUUACUAGAAGACACAUCCAAAAAUAAGGCUUCAUGAAGGAAGGUAUUAUAAUACCUUCAUAAUUAAUAAUAAUUUACCUUUUUUUUUGCCCUUUUUUAAAACUAUAUAUUUCCCAAGGAAAUGUGUUUAAAAUUUUUUAAAUACUCAUAUUUUGUUACUCUAACGUGUGUUGCAACUUUCGUCAUCUUCAGUAGCAGGUAAACCAGGCCAAAGAACUUUCAGAAGUGGCCCGUGCCAAGGAGAAGGGAAGGGUAACGCCAAGGGGUCUUAGCUACUUUGUAAAAUGAAGUGACUUUAUUACUUACCUCAGGAAUGACAUAAUGUUACAUAAACUAUUUUUGGAGCCUCCCUGUGCAUAAGGAAAGGGUUUUUACUCCAAAAUUGAAGAGUAUUAAAACCAUUUCCCCAUCAAGGGUCUGAGGCUCCCUUUACAAAGUCAUUCAUAAUUACCUAAAAGAAACAGGUUGAAAACUGGGUAACUUGUGUGUGGCAACAUUUUUUGGUCACAGGAUUUGUCCCUUGGUCCUGGUUGUGACGCUUAACAGCCCAGGUGGCAGCUCUUCUGCACAGCGAUUCUCCUCACCAAGCCCAGACACUAGCUCUCCCUUCUGUGCUCACAACUUUCCCUCCCAUUUUCAAUUUCUCAGGGACAAAAAUAUUACAUAGAGUAUAUGUGACCUAUAAACAAGUCACUUAUCUUCUCUCAGGAUGAGUUUUGUGUUUACAGCUGAAGUGCCCAUAAGCUGGAUUUAGUGUCUUUGCUCAGAGGUAGUUGGCCCUGUUUCCAGCAAUGUGGAUAAUUGAACUCUUGAUACCCAUUAGCAGAACCAUUUCUUCCUUUCUUUUUCUUUCUUUUUUUUUUUUUUUCAUUUCUUCCUUUCAUGUGGACAGCCCAAAUCUUCCAUCUUGGCCUCCAAGCGUGACCCUACGGUCUGACCCAGGGUCUGUCUUUCCCUGUGCAGCUACAGCUUCAGCCAGAGCAGGUGCAGAAACACGAGGUACUAGCCCUGCCCUGGCUCCUUCUUCUUCUACCCUGGGUGGCCUGCCCCCACCCAGAAUCUGCCCUGACAUUCCGACUCAGCUAAAAUUCCACCUCCUCUCCAGAUUGAGCACCCUUCCUAAAUUCCCUCAGCAUGUAAUUCUCUGCUAUAAUUCUUAGAGAUUUCAAAAGCCACAUUCGCCAUCCUGCUUGUUCCUGGACCCUCUGCCUCUGUCUUCAACCCUAAGCCACCCACUCUGUGCUUAGAUCCUAGAUUGGUGUUUUAUUCUUUUUUUUUUUUUAAUCUGACAAUGUAUAAAUUGAGGAAGAAAACAGAUUAUGUCAGUGGUUUUCAAGCUUUCCCAUUUCAGGCAAAAUCAUAUACAGGGUCCAAUGUAUGAAUGAGAAAAAUCCAAUAUAUAAAACAUAAAUGAGAAAAGAAAAAGAAACAUAAAUGAAACUGUUGUGGCUAAAGUAGACAGAGUACCUAAAGCUCUGCUCUCUUGACUUCCCCCACUCCAGAAAGAAACAAAAAGCAAAAACUCAUUACUGAGGCACCUCCAAAAACCACCCAUGGGCAUCUGUGAAAACUCCUCCAUGGACCUUUCUGCUUAGGGCUAUGGAGCCACAGUUCUUUGUCACUCCAUGCUAGUGUUUAGGAAAAGUGAGGCCCUCUGGAGGUCAAACCAAUAACACUAUAGGUGCGAAGUGUUCACAAAACA